GCUUCGACAUCGCCGAGUCCUCCGGGCCGCCGGAGGAGCGGGAGACCCAGGUUGUUGGGGCGAAUCGCUCAUGAGAGCGCAGGGAGACUUGUCCUCACCCGAGCCCGUCAGCUAAUCCCGCAGGCGUCAGACAAGCGAGUG
rnacentral:sRNA from 2 species